AAUCACUGAAGUUAAGCAAUUUUGAGCCUGGUUAGUACCUAGAUGGGUGACCACUUGGGAAUACAUGAUGCUGUAAG